AGUGAACGCUGGCGGUAGGCCUAAUACAUGCAAGUCGAACGACAGCACAGUAAGAGUUCUCCCCUACGGUUGGCGAGUGGCGGACGGGUGAGGCAUACAUCGGAAUCCACUUUUUCGUGGGUGAUAGCGUGGGGCAACUUAUGCUAAUACCGCAUACAUUGAACGGCUGAGAGCAGGAGUGCAUGGGGCCUUGCCCGACAGAUUGAGACGAUGCCGGAUUAGCUUGUUGGGGGGGUAAAGGCCCACCAAGGCAACGAACCGUAGCUGAUCUGAGAGGAUGGGCCGCCACACUGGAACUUGGACACGGGCCCGACUCCUACGGGAGGCAGCAGUAGGGAAUCUUGCGCAAUGGGGGAAAGCCUGACGCCGCACCUCCGCGGGAGGUAAGAAGGGCUUCCGGUUGUAAAACCCUUUUUUUAGGGAAGAAAAAAUGGGUAAGUAACUCCCCCCGUUUUUACGGUACCCAAUCAGAAAGCCACGGCUAACUUCGUG
rnacentral:rRNA from 1 species